GAUGAACGCUGGCGGCGUGCCUAAUACAUGCAAGUCGAGCGAACAUACGAGGAGCUUGCUCCUCUGACGUUAGCGGCGGACGGGUGAGUAACACUUGGAUAACCUACCUAUAAGACUGGGAUAACUUCGGGACACCGGAGCUAAUACCGGAUAAUAUAUUGAACCGCAUGGUUCAAUAGUGAAAGACGGUUUUGCUGUCACUUAUAGAUGGAUCCGCGCCGCAUUAGCUAGUUGGUAAGGUAACGGCUUACCAAGGCAACGAUGCGUAGCCGACCUGAGAGGGUGAUCGGCCACACGGGAACUGAGACACGGUCCAGACUCCUACGGGAGGCAGCAGUAGGGAAUCUUCCGCAAUGGGCGAGAGCCUGACGGAGCAACGCCGCGUGAGUCAUGAAGGUCUUCGGAUCGUAAAACUCUGAUAUUAGGGGAGAACAAAUGUGUAAGUAACUAUGCACGUCUUGACGGUACCUAAUCAGAAAGCCACGGCUAACUACGUG
rnacentral:rRNA from 1 species